CCUACGGGUGGCUGCAGUGAGGAAUAUUGGUCAAUGGGCGAGAGCCUGAACCAGCCAAGUCGCGUGAGGGAAGACGGCCCUACGGGUUGUAAACCUCUUUUGUCGGGGAGUAAAGCGAACCACGUCUGCUUCAUUGUCAGUACCUUAUGACAAACCAUCGGCGAACUCCGUGCCAGCAGCCGCGGUAAUACGGAGGAUUCGAGCGUUAGCCGGAUUUGUUGGGGUUAAAGGGAGCGUAGUCGGGAGGCCAAGGCAGCUGUCAAAGUUGGGGGCUCAACCCCACGAUGGCAAUUGAAACUGGAGGCCUGGAGUGCAGGAGAGGUAGGCGGAAUUCGGAGUGUAGCGGUGAAAUGCGUAGAUAUCACGAAGAACGCCGAUUGCGAAGGCAGCAUACUGGACGGCAACUGACGCUGAUGCUCGAAAGCGUGGGUAGCAAACAGGAUUAGAUACCCGGGUAGUC
rnacentral:rRNA from 1 species